AACGCGAAGGGUUGCCUCAGUAGCGGCGAGUGAGCGGCAAGAGCUCAGAUUUGAAAUCGUGCUUUGCGGCACGAGUUGUAGAUUGCAGGUUGGAGUCUGUGUGGAAGGCGGUGUCCAAGUCCCUUGGAACAGGGCGCCCAGGAGGGUGAGAGCCCCGUGGGAUGCCGGCGGAAGCAGUGAGGCCCUUCUGACGAGUCGAGUUGUUUGGGAAU
rnacentral:rRNA from 1 species